UCAAAAUCAAAUAAUCUAAGGACUAUUGCAACAUUCACAUGAUAUAUUAGUUAUUCAGAAUAAUAUACCAAUUUCUGAAUAUAAUUGCAAUCAUAAUAUAUAAUCAUACACCAUAGUAAUAAAAUGAUAAAAGAAGAUAGUGUAAAUAAAUAAAGACAUUUUUACUUUCACGGGACGUGUGGCUAAGUAGAACCCUAACCCCAAAUUCUAACAGCCAUUUUGGCUCUCUUAAUCCAAAUAAGACUGGCGCCCCGAGAGCAAUGCUCGACCAGUGACCUUACCUCCAGUCUGGUCACUUAAGUAUCCAAAUAAGAAAUCUAGUAGUCAUUCGGCUCUCUUAAUCCAAUAAGACUGGCGCCCCGAGAGCAAUGCUCGACCAGGGACCUUACCUCCAGUCUGGUCACUUAAGUAUCCAAAUAAGCCGGCGCCCCGAGAGCAAUGCUCGACUAGGGACCUUACCUCCGGCAAUUUACACAAAUCAGCCCAGAGAGCCAUGCUCGACCAGGGCAAACCCAUAAAUAUCUUAUUACAUGUCCAUGAUCAUUACUGGUGCGCACGCGGUCCUGAUGUAACCCAUCAGGCGGCAUGUUCUACAAGCCACAUUUCCCAAUUCGCAAUCAUCACAUAUAAUAAAUAUCAUUAUCUGAUGAACUCAUCCAACACAUAUCGAAAUAAAGAUUAAAGAUUUAAGAUAAAACAACGUGCAAUUUGUGAGGGGAAAAAUAAUAACGUUUGUCUUAUUAUAACAUACUAAUAAUAAUAUUUAUA
rnacentral:lncRNA from 1 species